AUUGAACGCUGGCGGCAGGCCUAACACAUGCAAGUCGAGCGGAGCGGCGGACGGGCGAGUAAUUCCUAGGAAUCUGCCUGGCCGCGGGGGAUAACGUCCGGAAACGGGCGCUAAUACCGCAUACUAUCAGAUGAGCCUAGGCCGGAUUAGCUAGCUGGUGAGGUAAAUGCCUACCAAGGCGACGAUCCGUAACUGGUCUGAGAGGAUUAUCAGUCACACUGGAACUGAGACACGGUCCAGACUCCGACGGGAGGCAGCAGUGGGGAAUAUUGGACAAUGGGCGAAAGCCUGAUGCAGCCAUGCCGCGUGUGUGAAGAAGGUCUUCGGAUUGUAAAGCACUUUAAGUUGGGAGGCGUUACCGACAGAAUAAGCACCGGCUAACUUCGUGCCAGCAGCCGCGGUAAUAC
rnacentral:rRNA from 1 species